CACCGCCCGUCACACCCUGGGAAUUGGUUUCGCCCGAAGCAUCGGACCAAUGAUCACCCAUGACUUCUGUGUCACACUAGUGCCACAAAGGCUUUUGGUGGUCUUAUUGGCGCAUACCACGGUGGGGUCUUCGACUGGGGUGAAGUCGUAAAAAGGUAGCCGUAGGGGAACCUGUGGCUG
rnacentral:ncRNA from 1 species